GUCUUAUACUCACUUCAGCAACACAUAUGCUAAAAUUGGAACAAUACAGAUAAGAUUAGUCUGGCCCCUUUGCAUGGAUGACAUGCAAAUUCAUGAGGGGCUCCAUGUUUUC